UGAGUAAUAUAUCGGAACGUGCCCAGUAGCGGGGGAUAACUACUCGAAAGAGUAGCUAAUACCGCAUACGCCCUACGGGGGAAAGGGGGGGAUCGCAAGACCUCUCACUAUUGGAGCGGCCGAUAUCGGAUUAGCUAGUUGGUGGGGUAAAGGCCCACCAAGGCGACGAUCCGUAGCUGGUUUGAGAGGACGACCAGCCACACUGGGACUGAGACACGGCCCAGACUCCUACGGGAGGCAGCAGUGGGGAAUUUUGGACAAUGGGGGAAACCCUGAUCCAGCCAUUCCGCGUGUGCGAUGAAGGCCUUCGGGUUGUAAAGCACUUUUGGCAGGAAAGAAAUCGCACAAAUUAAUACUUUGUGUGGAUGACGGUACCUGCAGAAUAAGCACCGGCUAACUACGUGCCAGCAGCCGCGGUAAUACGUAGGGUGCAAGCGUUAAUCGGAAUUACUGGGCGUAAAGCGUGCGCAGGCGGUUCGGAAAGAGAGGUGUGAAAUCCCAGGGCUUAACCUUGGAACUGCACUUUUAACUCCCGAGCUAGAGUAUGUCAGAGGGGGGUGGAAUUCCGCGUGUAGCAGUGAAAUGCGUAGAUAUGCGGAGGAACACCGAUGGCGAAGGCAGCCCCCUGGGAUAAUACUGACGCUCAUGCACGAAAGCGUGGGGAG
rnacentral:rRNA from 1 species